rnacentral:misc_RNA from 1 species
AAGCAAAAACACACCAACCAGAUGCCGAUAAACCGAUAAAAAUCCUCAAACCAUUACUUAGUAAUCAUAUCAAUAUCAAUUGAUACUAAUCCUAUCAACCGCGAUUGAUACGAUACUAACUCAUUUCAAAUUCAUUUCAUUUGGUGCACCCGGAGAGUAAAUUUUCGGGGAAGGACGGAUUGCCUGUGCGGAACCGCAGGUAAAGUGAAGUCGUGUAUAAGUGCUGUAUAUUGGACGCUAACUGGACCUGGUUAGGUAU